rnacentral:rRNA from 1 species
CAGUCGCCGCGGUAAUACAGAGGGUGCGAGCGUUAAUCGGAUUUACUGGGCGUAAAGCGUGCGUAGGCGGCUUUUCAAGUCGGAUGUGAAAUCCCUGAGCUUAACUUAGGAAUUGCAUUCGAUACUGGGAAGCUAGAGUAUGGGAGAGGAUGGUAGAAUUCCAGGUGUAGCGGUGAAAUGCGUAGAGAUCUGGAGGAAUACCGAUGGCGAAGGCAGCCAUCUGGCCUAAUACUGACGCUGAGGUACGAAAGCAUGGGGAGCAAACAGGAUUAGAUACCCCAGUAGUCCCUGUCUCUUAUAC